CAAUGGGCGCAAGCCUGAUGGAGCAACACCGCGUGAGUGAAGAAGGGUUUCGGCUCGUAAAGCUCUGUUGUUAAAGAAGAACACGUAUGAGAGUAACUGUUCAUACGUUGACGGUAUUUAACCAGAAAGUCACGGCUAACUACGUGCCAGCAGCCGCGGUAAUACGUAGGUGGCAAGCGUUAUCCGGAUUUAUUGGGCGUAAAGAGAGUGCAGGCGGUUUUCUAAGUCUGAUGUGAAAGCCUUCGGCUUAACCGGAGAAGUGCAUCGGAAACUGGAUAACUUGAGUGCAGAAGAGGGUAGUGGAACUCCAUGUGUAGCGGUGGAAUGCGUAGAUAUAUGGAAGAACACCAGUGGCGAAGGCGGCUACCUGGUCUGCAACUGACGCUGAGACUCGAAAGCAUGGGUAGCGAACAGGAUUAGAUACCCUGGUAGUCCAUGCCGUAAACGAUGAGUGCUAGGUGUUGGAGGGUUUCCGCCCUUCAGUGCCGGAGCUAACGCAUAAGCACUCCGCUGGAGACACCGAAAUGG
rnacentral:rRNA from 1 species